UACGUAGGGUGCAAGCGUUGUCCGGAAUUAUUGGGCGUAAAGAGCUCGUAGGCGGUCUGUCGCGUCGGCUGUGAAAUCCCGAGGCUCAACCUCGGGUCUGCAGUCGAUACGGGCAAACUGGAGUGUUGCAGGGGAGACUGGAAUUCCUGGUGUAGCGGUGAAGUGCGCAGAUAUCAGGAGGAACACCGGUGGCGAAGGCGGGUCUCUGGGCAACAACUGACGCUGAGGAGCGAAAGCGUGGGGAGCGAACAGG
rnacentral:rRNA from 1 species